rnacentral:rRNA from 1 species
AACGAACGCUGGCGGCGUGGAUAAGACAUGCAAGUCGAACGGGACAGUCUUGUAGCAAUAUGAGACUGUUCAGUGGCGAACGGGUGCGUAACACGUGGGUCACAUUCCGGGAAGUGAGAAAUAGCCCAGGGAAACUUGGAUUAAUAUCUCAUGUGGUCGCAAGACUAAAGGCGCAAGCCGCUUCCUGAUUGGCCCGCGGCCUAUCAGCUAGUUGGUGAGGUAAUGGCUCACCAAGGCAACGACGGGUAGCUGGUCUGAGAGGACGACCAGCCACACUGGAACUGAGACACGGUCCAGACACCUACGGGUGGCAGCAGUCGAGAAUCUUUUCACAAUGGGCGAAAGCCUGAUGGAGCGACGCCGCGUGGAGGUUAAGGUCUUCGGAUUGUAAACUCCUGUCAUGCGAGAACAAAGCCCGCAAGGGUGUGAUAGUACCGCAAGAGGAAGAGACGGCUAAACUCUGUGCCAGCAGCCGCCGU